UUGUUAAUUUUGGUAAUUACAUCUUCAAUGUUUGGUGCCCAGGUUUUACAAAGAGCUUUGUACUUUUUCUUUUUUAGGGCUUCUCCAUGCUUUAUUCUUUUAAGUUCUGACUCAUUAACCAAUUGAAGCUUUGUUACAGCUACCAUUUCUGUCGCUAUGACCUACAAAAAAAACAUACAUUAUCAUAAUCAACCAACAGUUCAAUCAGAGGAAACACAUCAUCUGACGGACCAGCAUACUGACAAUAAGUUUCAUUAAUGCAGGGUGUUCAAGAAGUGCUGCACCGACUUCAACACCAGAAUUCUAAAUCGGACACUCCAUAUAUUUUUAUAUUUUUAGGAUCCUUGGGAGGAAUAAAGCAAAUUUAUGUCCUCGGCAUACAGUGUUUUGUAAUACUGGUAAUUAGUGGCGACUUGGACUUUUUAAUAAAAAUUCCUAUCACGACUUAAGAAGACUACCUCCUAUUGAUCGACGGUGACCAGGCAUUUUAAAUUUAUACAGGGUGUCUCAGGUAAUAAGAUAUAUUUUUAAAUUUUCGAUUCUUGAAUUAUUUUCAAUUUUUAUUAUAUAAUUUUUUAGACUUACAC